AGGGAAUCUUCCACAAUGGGCGAAAGCCUGAUGGAGCAACGCCGCGUGAGUGAAGAAGGAUUUCGGUUCGUAAAACUCUGUUGUAAGGGAAGAACAAGUACAGUAGUAACUGGCUGUACCUUGACGGUACCUUAUUAGAAAGCCACGGCUAACUACGUGCCAGCAGCCGCGGUAAUACGUAGGUGGCAAGCGUUGUCCGGAAUUAUUGGGCGUAAAGCGCGCGCAGGUGGUUUCUUAAGUCUGAUGUGAAAGCCCACGGCUCAACCGUGGAGGGUCAUUGGAAACUGGGAGACUUGAGUGCAGAAGAGGAUAGUGGAAUUCCAAGUGUAGCGGUGAAAUGCGUAGAGAUUUGGAGGAACACCAGUGGCGAAGGCGACUAUCUGGUCUGUAACUGACACUGAGGCGCGAAAGCGUGGGGAGCAAAC
rnacentral:rRNA from 1 species